GUGGGGAAUCUUAGACAAUGGGGGAAACCCUGAUCUAGCCAUGCCGCGUGAGCGAUGAAGGCCUUAGGGUUGUAAAGCUCUUUCAGCUGGGAAGAUAAUGACGGUACCAGCAGAAGAAGCCCCGGCUAACUCCGUGCCAGCAGCCGCGGUAAUACGGAGGGGGCUAGCGUUGUUCGGAAUUACUGGGCGUAAAGCGCACGUAGGCGGAUUGGAAAGUUGGGGGUGAAAUCCCGGGGCUCAACCCCGGAACUGCCUUCAAAACUCCCAGUCUUGAGUUCGAGAGAGGUGAGUGGAAUUCCGAGUGUAGAGGUGAAAUUCGUAGAUAUUCGGAGGAACACCAGUGGCGAAGGCGGCUCACUGGCUCGAUACUGACGCUGAGGUGCGAAAGCGUGGGGAGCAAACAGGAUUAGAUACCCCAGUAGUCC
rnacentral:rRNA from 1 species